rnacentral:piRNA from 1 species
GUAGUUACUAGUUGAACAAGAUGCC